rnacentral:snRNA from 1 species
GUGGUUUGGCAUCAUAUGUAUUAAAAUUGGAACCGUACAGAGAAGUUUCGCAUGAUCCCUGCACAAGGA